rnacentral:misc_RNA from 1 species
AACCAUAGAAACCUGCGGAGUACCUGCGGCAGGAUCAUUACAGAGUUGCAAAACUCCCUAAACCAUUGUGAACGUUACCUAAACCGUUGCUUCGGCGGGCGGCCCGGGUCCUUCCCGGCGCCCAUCGGCCCUCGCGGGCGCCCGCCGGAGGUAAACCAAACUAUUGCAUUGUAUGGCCUCUCUGAGUCUUCUGUACUGAAUAAGUCAAAACUUUCAGCAAUGGAUCUCAGAUCGGAAGAG